CAGCAAAUAUGGCUGCUCUUCGGGGUCCUCUGGGACCUUUGCCUGUGGGGUCAGAGGGUGUAUGGCCUCUACCAAAUGUUCUCCAAGCAGGGGAACUGCUUCUCCUCCUGUGGCACACAGACCCCUCAGACUCUGCUGCCUACUCCUGGGGAUUCCCCCUACUUCCUCACCAGAGCUGUGCCAGGGGCAGCCAAGUGCCCAGCUAACUGACUCCAAGGGUCUCAACAAGAGGGAAGUGGCCAGGACUUCUGGGAAGCCACUUUAAGGAAGGCUAACUCAGCUAAGUGAACCCCUUUUGUCCCCACAUCCUCUCUCUUCUUCCUACUGGCAUGUUGAUGUGACAGCUGGAGCUUCUCAGCCCUAGCCGCUGACUUCCAGACUUCUUUUAAAACUCAGAAAAUAACCUGAUAAUGUGUUUAA